GCCAUAUCACAUUAAAAUACCAGUUCUCAUCCGAUCACCAGAGUUAAGCAAUGUUGAACAUGGUUAGUACCUAGAUGGGUGACCACUUGGGAAUACCCACUACUGUAA